rnacentral:rRNA from 1 species
AAUCAACGCUGGCGGCGUGCCUCAGACAUGCAAGUCGAACGAUUAAAGCUCUCUUCGGAGAGUGUAUAGAGUGGCGCACGGGUGAGUAACACGUAAGUAAUCUACCUUCGAGUGGGGAAUAACAGUCGGAAACGACUGCUAAUACCGCAUAAUGCAGCGGCAUCGCAAGAUGACAGUUGUUAAAGGAGCAAUUCGCUUGAAGAGGAGCUUGCGGCAGAUUAGCUAGUUGGUAAGGUAAUGGCUUACCAAGGCUACGAUCUGUAUCCGGUCUAAGAGGACGGUCGGACACACUGGCACUGAAUAACGGGUCAGACUCCUACGGGAGGCAGCAGUCGGGAAUUUUGGGCAAUGGGCGAAAGCCUGACCCAGCAACGCCGCGUGAAGGAUGAAGUAUUUCGGUAUGUAAACUUCGAAAGAAUAGAAGAAUAAAUGACGGUACUAUUUAUAAGGUCCGGCUAACUACGUGCCAGCAGCCGCCGU